rnacentral:lncRNA from 1 species
CAUGGUUCAUCGUUACUUCUUGUCAGCAAGGACCUAAGUACAUUCAUCUCCCUUUCCUGCAAGUGAGUGAUGAUGAAGGAAGUAAAGAGAUGUAUAAAGUACCAGACAGUGGCAGAAAUGAGGAACUAAGGCUUUCCUUCCCAAUAAAAUCUCCAAAUGCAAUAAUGCUGUUUUCUGUGGAAGAAGAAUGUUGCUCUUUAAAAAGCAUAUGGCACAGAUAAUCUUUUUCUCUACUACACUUCUACUGAAAGUUAUUGGGCAGGAUUUCUGACUAUUGAGAAGAAUUAAGGUAAACAAGUAGUCCACAUAUUAUUUCAUAUUUAGGCACUCCAUACUUCAGUUUAUCACUGGAGAGCAUAGCAGUAAAGUUCUGUUAAGUUAAACUACUGUUUGAUGUUGGUGAAAGGAAGACUUUUUAACAAGGUAAAUUCUAUUCUGAAAACAUUUUUCAUGGACUCAAAUAAUUUUUUCUCUGUCUUUGACUCAUGUGUUGCCAG